rnacentral:rRNA from 1 species
GACGAACCGUGCGAACGUUAUUCGGAAUCAUUGGGCUUAAAGCGCGUGUAGGCGGAUGGGAACGUCGGUCGCGUGAAAAUACCCCCGGCUUAACCGGGGAACUGGCAUCGAAAACGACUCGUCUACGAGGGGCAUAGGGGGAGCUGGAACUUCCGGUGGAGCGGUGAAAUGCCGUUGAGAUCGGAAGGAACGCCCGUGGCGAAAGCGAGCUCCUGGAUGUCUUCUGACGCUGAGACGCGAAAGCUAGGGUAGCGAACGGGAUU